rnacentral:rRNA from 1 species
UGGGGAAUUUUGGACAAUGGGCGAAAGCCUGAUCCAGCAAUGCCGCGUGUGUGAAGAAGGCCUUCGGGUUGUAAAGCACUUUUGUCCGGAAAGAAAUCCUUGGCUCUAAUACAGUCGGGGGAUGACGGUACCGGAAGAAUAAGCACCGGCUAACUACGUGCCAGCAGCCGCGGUAAUACGUAGGGUGCAAGCGUUAAUCGGAAUUACUGGGCGUAAAGCGUGCGCAGGCGGUUUGCUAAGACCGAUGUGAAAUCCCCGGGCUCAACCUGGGGACUGCAUUGGUGACUGGCAGGCUAGAGUAUGGCAGAGGGGGGUAGAAUUCCACGUGUAGCAGUGAAAUGCGUAGAGAUGUGGAGGAAUACCGAUGGCGAAGGCAGCCCCCUGGGCCAAUACUGACGCUCAUGCACGAAAGCGUGGGGGAGCAAACAGGAUUAGAUACCCUGGUAGUCCACGCCCUAAAACGAUGUCAACUAGUUGUUGGGGAUUCAUUUCCUUAGUAACGUAGCUAACGCGUGAAGUUGACCGCCUGGGGAGUACGGUCGCAAGAUUAAAACUCAAAUGAAUUGACGGGGUCAUAGCUGUUUCCU